UUUGUGCAUGUGUGUUUCUCAGUAAGAAGAAGAACAACAACAAAAAUGUGGCUGAGAUGGAUUUGUAAUUUUUCACUGUGGCUUUGAAUUGUGGGUGAUAUCAGCACAGCUACAGAAAUUGGGUUUGUCAGUUAAGCCUCCCUCCCUGCUGGCUAAGCAGUAGAGCAUGAAACAUAAACCAUAAAGAAACAAUAGCAGGUCUCAGGGGUUAUUUGUUAUUGUUUUCCAAAUACAUCUUAGUGACAGAAUGGAAAAUGGUCAACUGGGAAUCUAAACUCAUCAAGGCCAAGAUUCUCGUCAAGGCCAAGCUAAUUUCAUAAGCCCUCUUCAAGGAUUCCAAGAAGAAUUUUUGUGCAGAUAUGAGCUAGGUUCCAUCCUGUCUUAUUCAGAGUUGAGAAGUCAGGUGUACCCCUGUCUUCAGGAUGCACACCUUCUCCUUCUCCUUCACACAAGAACUGCCCUGCCUCUGCAAAGAACAGUUGCCCAGGGCUUUGCCUGACUCAAAGUGUGUUUAACUGGGGAGGGGUAUAAAAAGACUGAUUGUAACUACAGAUCAGGCCACGUUUUCUAAUCUGGUUUUACUGGAAUAAAGCUGACAUUUUGUUCUCCAUCAA